rnacentral:tRNA from 5 species
GCUGCGGUGUCCGAGUGGUUAAGGAGAUGGACUUGAAAUCCAUUGGGCUUUGCCCGCACAGGUUCGAAUCCUGUCCGCAGCG